AGAGUUUGAUCCUGGCUCAGGAUUAACGCUAGCGGCAGGCCUAACACAUGCAAGUCGAGGGGUAAAUCUUCUGAGUAAUCGGAAAAUACGACCGGCGCACGGGUGAGUAACGCGUAUGCAACCUACCCUUUGCUAGGGAAUAGCCCGAAGAAAUUCGGAUUAAUACCCUAUAAUAUUCAGAUAUCGCUUGAUAAUUGAAUUAAAGUUCCGACGGCAAAGGAUGGGCAUGCGUGACAUUAGUUAGUUGGUGAGGUAAUGGCUCACCAAGACGAUGAUGUCUAGGGGGUCUUAAAGGAUGAUCCCCCACACUGUACUGAGACACGGACCAGACUCCUACGGGAGGCAGCAGUGAGGAAUAUUGGGCAAUGGGCGCAAGCCUGACCCAGCCAUGCCGCGUGCAGGAUGACGGUUCUAUGAAUUGUAAACUGCUUUUAUACAGGAAGAAUCCCCCGUACGUGUACGGGAUUGACUGUACUGUAAGAAUAAGCAUCGGCUAACUCCGUGCCAGCAGCCGCGGUAAUACGGAGGAUGCAAGCGUUAUCCGGAUUUAUUAGGUUUAAAGGGUGCGUAGGCGGAAUAAUAAGUCAGUGGUGAAAUCUCUCCGCUUAACGGAGAAACUGCCAUUGAUACUGUUAUUCUUGAGUUCAGUUGAGGUGGGCGGAAUGUGUCAUGUAGCGGUGAAAUGCAUAGAUAUGACACAGAACGCCGAUUGCGUAGGCAGCUCACUAAACUGAUACUGACGCUGAGGCACGAAAGCGUGGGGAUCAAACAGGAUUAGAUACCCUGGUAGUCCACGCCGUAAACUAUGAUUACUCGUUGUGUGCAAUACAUCGUACGUGACUAAGCGAAAGCAUUAAGUAAUCCACCUGGGGAGUACGUUCGCAAGAAUGAAACUCAAAGGAAUUGACGGGGGCCCGCACAAGCGGAGGAACAUGUGGUUUAAUUCGAUGAUACGCGAGGAACCUUACCUGGGCUUGAAAGCUUUCUGACAAUGCCGGAAACGGUACUUUCCUUCGGGACAGAUUGCUAGGUGCUGCAUGGUUGUCGUCAGCUCGUGCCGUGAGGUGUCGGGUUAAGUCCCAUAACGAGCGCAACCCCUAUCGUUAGUUGCCAGCGGAUAAUGCCGGGGACUCUAACGAAACUGCCGGUGUAAACCGUGAGGAAGGUGGGGAUGACGUCAAAUCAGCACGGCCCUUAUGUCCAGGGCUACACACGUGUUACAAUGGUCAAUACAACGGGCAGCUACUUGGUGACAAGAUGCUAAUCCCACAAAAUUGAUCUUAGUUCGGAUCGGAGUCUGCAACUCGACUCCGUGAAGCUGGAUUCGCUAGUAAUCGCGCAUCAGCAAUGGCGCGGUGAAUACGUUCCCGGGCCUUGUACACACCGCCCGUCAAGCCAUGGAAGUCGGGGGUGCCUGAAGUCCGUAACCGUAAGGAGCGGCCUAGGGUAAAACCAAUGACUGGGGCUAAGUCGUAACAAGGUA
rnacentral:rRNA from 1 species